ACCUGUUGUCUCCAAAGCGCUGACCUGCCUGGAGUCAUCCUGGAAGUCAAUAGAGGACAGGGGAAAUGGCAACUUUGUGUACACCAAGGCACUGCUGGCCUAUGCUUUCACUCUGGCAGGGAACCAGGACAAGAGAAAUGAAGUCCUAAAAUCACUUGAUACUGAAGCUGUAAAGGAAGACAACUCCGUCCAUUGGGAAAGACCUCAGAAACCCAGGAAUUCAGAGAGGUAUCUGUACAAACCCCAGGCUCCCUCCGCUGAAGUGGAGAUGAAUUCCUACAUCCUCCUCACUCUCCUCACUGCCCAGCCAGCCCCAGCCCCUGAGGACCUGGCUUUGGCAGUGCGCAUCGUGAAGUGGAUCACAAAGCAGCAGAAUUCCCAUGGCGGCUUCUCUUCCACACAGGUCGGUGACUUUCCUUCAGAGUCCCAUGCAGUGAGGGGAUUUGAACAAGAGAUGCAGGAACAAGAAAAAAGGGAAGAGGAGGGAAAAAAACAAGGACAUGUUCCUCAUGGGUAUUUUGAGUCUAUAGGAAGUGAGGGAUGAUACAUUCCAUAAUGAAUUUUCCUACUUCCUGUGUUCAGACACAAGAGGUCUCUUCAUACCACAUUUAGUGAAACAGGCCUAAGUUGCUGAGGACUUCUGACCCAGACCCAAAACUUGAUAGAAAACAAUGGCAAAAACCCUGAGGUGUCCAGAAUCCUUAUAUAAUCCGUCACGCUGGAAUAGCACAAUGAGUACCUAAGAGAUGCUAACUGGACCAAACUGCAUCUUUAUCAUCGUGCUGCUCUUAGGUGAGGCGAUUCCCCUUCUCCUGACAGACUCUCCCAAUCUUAUGUAUGGAGAGAUUGCCCUCAGGUUUUCCCCAAGCUAGUAGAACUCCUGCAGGCCUGCUUUACCUCAGGACAGUUAGAUCCAAUCAAGGCUGUAAACCAUUUGCUUUAUCAUCUAGUCAGGAUAAUUCUCAUGAGGUAAUAGUUUCCAAAAAUAUACAUCUACCAUAGUGUCUAUAAAUGAUGCUCCUAUAUUCAGGGCAUAUAUGGCAGAGUUAAUCUUCAGAGAGGUAUAGUGAGAAGGUCAGUUCCUCUAAAGGAGAACAAUGUACCAACAGGAACCUUCCAUGACAUUAGCCACCCUGUUUGCAUUCAAUUCUUUCAGUCUUUUACCUCAACAGGAAGUCUGCAUUGUAAAUACAGUAAAACCCUCACUGCAUGUUUCUGUUCUCUUUUUGGGCUCUGCAGUCAGGAUAGUAUCUGGAGCUGACUUGGGAUAAGGAGGGAUCCUGUGGGAGAGAUCCUCUCUAGAGCAUGGAGUACAUCCCCAGAGAGUAUGCUGCUGAGGAGCAAGGCGAGGAAGGACUAGAUCACAGUUUUUCCUUUAUUUGAUAAGAUUGGAUCGUGACUGGCACUUGGCCAUGAUGUUGAUGUCUCUUGAGUGUUCCUCAGUGCAGAAGAAAGUUUGGUGGUGAGAGCAAGAACGUGAUUUUGUCGACAGAUGCUCGGCAUCUUCACGGGAAUCAAGGACAAAGGAAGAAAAACAGUAAAUGCUAGAAGAAAAAUCUAAUUUGGAUUUAUUCUUUGUACUGGUUUGAGGGAAAUCUGCAUAUGCUCUGUGUAAGGAGGGAAAUUAGGUGGAUGUUUUUGGUUCUCAGAUAUUUCCUAAAUUAAAGUCUAGAGAUCAAAUAACUAGAGACAAAACCUCAGGACAAUUUUGUCACAGCCUCAGGAAGAGCCUGA